UUUUUUUUUCCCUAAAUUUUUCCUUUUUUUCUCGUUUUCCCCUAAAAUUUUCCAAAUUUUUCUCCCUAUCCACGAUUUCUUCAUACUCUUCACAAAUUUCUUCAGCCCAUGACCUAAUUCCACCCACUACUAUCUUCUUAAUCCCCUUUUCUUCAAUGGGUUUGCGUUCAAACCCUACUGCAACCCUCUCUCUUCUUCUUUUCUCCUCUUCCUUCUUCUUCCCUCUCUUUGCCUCCGUUCAGGUGUAUUCUGCGGAAGUGGAGAAAGAUGAGUUGGAUGGACCUAAAGAUCUCGGUCGAUGUAGCAAGGUCAGUACAAUUCCUUGUCGGCCAUGGCUAGAGGUUGGUUUGGGGUUAUAUUGAGAUUGAGAUCUUUGUGCUUUUUGACUUAAUAGUUUUCCUUCUUGUACAUUGUUAAUAGAACUAACUAUUGUCUAUUGAGAUAUACUCUUGAGCUUUCAAUACCUUCUACUACCUGCUUGUGUAUGAAAAUAAAAAAAACCAAUUGUAAUUUCGGGGGACAGUGAGGAAGAUGGUAAUGAUUUUACUAGGUGGUGCUGGUUUUGUUUUUGAAGAAUUUGAAGAAGGCCAACUGACUUGGGUUUAGAAUUAUCCGACUUGAAGAAAAAUCAAACUAGCGGAAGCGUUGAAGCCUGGGUCUAAACCUCGCACUUGUUUCAUUCUAGCCUAAGAAAGGAAGGAAGGAAGAACGCGCCUGCGAAUUCAAAUGAAAAAGAGGUACCUGAGGAUCUAAGACGGCCAGAAACGGGCGGUUUGGGGAUUGUGGGAGUGGAAGAGGAAUAGGAGAGAUAAAGGAAUGGUUUGGCGCCAUUGGGAAAGGGGUUUGCGUGAAAGGGAUGAGGGUUUGAGUGUAAUUGGGAAAGUUAUUUAUUAAAAUAGUAACUUAGUUUAAUUGUUUACUGUUAUUGUAUGCAUUUAUGAGAACAAAUAAACGUUUUUUUACUGAAAAAAAAUGCGAAUUUUACAUUUA